AUUGAACGCUGGCGGCAUGCCUUACACAUGCAAGUCGAACGGCAGCACGGGGGCAACCCUGGUGGCGAGUGGCGAACGGGUGAGUGAUACAUCGGAAUGUACCCAGUAGUGGGGGAUAACUAGUCGAAAGAUUAGCUAAUACCGCAUACGCACUAUGGUGGAAAGCGGGGGAUCGCAAGACCUCGCGCUAUUGGAGCAGCCGAUGUCCGAUUAGGUAGUUGGUGGGGUAAAAGCCUACCAAGCCUGCGAUCGGUAACUGGUCUGAGAGGACGACCAGUCACACUGGGACUGAGACACGGCCCCAGACUCCUACGGGAGGCAGCAGUGGGGGAAUUUUGGACAAUGGGGGAAACCCUGAUCCAGCAAUGCCGCGUGUGUGAAGAAGGCC
rnacentral:rRNA from 1 species